GGUUAAGCGACUAAGCGUACACGGUGGAUGCCCUGGCAGUCAGAGGCGAUGAAGGACGUGCUAAUCUGCGAAAAGCGUCGGUAAGGUGAUAUGAACCGUUAUAACCGGCGAUGUCCGAAUGGGGAAACCCAGUGCAAUUCGUUGCACUAUCGUUAACUGAAUACAUAGGUUAACGAGGCGAACCGGGGGAACUGAAACAUCUAAGUACCCCGAGGAAAAGAAAUCAACCGAGAUUCCCCCAGUAGCGGCGAGCGAACGGGGAGCAGCCCAGAGUCUGAAUCAGCUUGUGUGUUAGUGGAACGGUCUGGAAAGUCCGACGGUACAGGGUGAUAGUCCCGUACACCAAAAUGCACAGGCUGUGAACUCGAAGAGUAGGGCGGGACACGUGGUAUCCUGUCUGAAUAUGGGGGGACCAUCCUCCAAGGCUAAAUACUCCUGACUGACCGAUAGUGAACCAGUACCGUGAGGGAAAGGCGAAAAGAACCCCGGCGAGGGGAGUGAAAAAGAACCUGAAACCGUGUACGUACAAGCAGUGGGAGCACCUUCGGGUGUGACUGCGUACCUUUUGUAUAAUGGGUCAGCGACUUAUAUUCUGUAGCAAGGUUAACCGUAUAGGGGAGCCGCAGGGAAACCGAGUCUUAACUGGGCGUUAAGUUGCAGGGUAUAGACCCGAAACCCGGUGAUCUAGCCAUGGGCAGGUUGAAGGUUGGGUAACACUAACUGGAGGACCGAACCGACUAAUGUUGAAAAAUUAGCGGAUGACUUGUGGCUGGGGGUGAAAGGCCAAUCAAACCGGGAGAUAGCUGGUUCUCCCCGAAAGCUAUUUAGGUAGCGCCUCGUGAAUUCAUCUUCGGGGGUAGAGCACUGUUUCGGCUAGGGGGUCAUCCCGACUUACCAACCCGAUGCAAACUACGAAUACCGAAGAAUGUUAUCACGGGAGACACACGGCGGGUGCUAACGUCCGUCGUGAAGAGGGAAACAACCCAGACCGCCAGCUAAGGUCCCAAAGUCAUGGUUAAGUGGGAAACGAUGUGGGAAGGCACAGACAGCCAGGAUGUUGGCUUAGAAGCAGCCAUCAUUUAAAGAAAGCGUAAUAGCUCACUGGUCGAGUCGGCCUGCGCGGAAGAUGUAACGGGGCUAAACCAUGCACCGAAGCUGCGGCAGCGACACUAUGUGUUGUUGGGUAGGGGAGCGUUCUGUAAGCCUGCGAAGGUGUGCUGUGAGGCAUGCUGGAGGUAUCAGAAGUGCGAAUGCUGACAUAAGUAACGAUAAAGCGGGUGAAAAGCCCGCUCGCCGGAAGACCAAGGGUUCCUGUCCAACGUUAAUCGGGGCAGGGUGAGUCGGCCCCUAAGGCGAGGCCGAAAGGCGUAGUCGAUGGGAAACAGGUUAAUAUUCCUGUACUUGGUGUUACUGCGAAGGGGGGACGGAGAAGGCUAUGUUAGCCGGGCGACGGUUGUCCCGGUUUAAGCAUGUAGGCUGGUUGUCCAGGCAAAUCCGGAUAAUCAAGGCUGAGGUGUGAUGACGAGGCACUACGGUGCUGAAGUAACAAAUGCCCUGCUUCCAGGAAAAGCCUCUAAGCAUCAGGUAACAUCAAAUCGUACCCCAAACCGACACAGGUGGUCAGGUAGAGAAUACCAAGGCGCUUGAGAGAACUCGGGUGAAGGAACUAGGCAAAAUGGUGCCGUAACUUCGGGAGAAGGCACGCUGGUGUGUAGGUGAAGUCCCUGCGGAUGGAGCUGAGACCAGUCGAAGAUACCAGCUGGCUGCAACUGUUUAUUAAAAACACAGCACUGUGCAAACACGAAAGUGGACGUAUACGGUGUGACGCCUGCCCGGUGCCGGAAGGUUAAUUGAUGGGGUUAUCCGUAAGGAGAAGCUCUUGAUCGAAGCCCCGGUAAACGGCGGCCGUAACUAUAACGGUCCUAAGGUAGCGAAAUUCCUUGUCGGGUAAGUUCCGACCUGCACGAAUGGCGUAAUGAUGGCCAGGCUGUCUCCACCCGAGACUCAGUGAAAUUGAACUCGCUGUGAAGAUGCAGUGUACCCGCGGCAAGACGGAAAGACCCCGUGAACCUUUACUAUAGCUUGACACUGAACAUUGAGCCUUGAUGUGUAGGAUAGGUGGGAGGCUUUGAAGCGUGGACGCCAGUCUGCGUGGAGCCAACCUUGAAAUACCACCCUUUAAUGUUUGAUGUUCUAACGUUGGCCCCUUACCGGGGUUGCGGACAGUGUCUGGUGGGUAGUUUGACUGGGGCGGUCUCCUCCCAAAGCGUAACGGAGGAGCACGAAGGUUAGCUAAUCCUGGUCGGACAUCAGGAGGUUAGUGCAAUGGCAUAAGCUAGCUUGACUGCGAGCGUGACGGCGCGAGCAGGUGCGAAAGCAGGUCAUAGUGAUCCGGUGGUUCUGAAUGGAAGGGCCAUCGCUCAACGGAUAAAAGGUACUCCGGGGAUAACAGGCUGAUACCGCCCAAGAGUUCAUAUCGACGGCGGUGUUUGGCACCUCGAUGUCGGCUCAUCACAUCCUGGGGCUGAAGUAGGUCCCAAGGGUAUGGCUGUUCGCCAUUUAAAGUGGUACGCGAGCUGGGUUUAGAACGUCGUGAGACAGUUCGGUCCCUAUCUGCCGUGGGCGCUGGAGAAUUGAGGGGGGCUGCUCCUAGUACGAGAGGACCGGAGUGGACGCAUCACUGGUGUUCGGGUUGUCAUGCCAAUGGCACUGCCCGGUAGCUAAAUGCGGAAGAGAUAAGUGCUGAAAGCAUCUAAGCACGAAACUUGCCCCGAGAUGAGUUCUCCCUGAGACUUUAAGUCUCCUGAAGGAACGUUGAAGACGACGACGUUGAUAGGCCGGGUGUGUAAGCGCAGCGAUGCGUUGAGCUAACCGGUACUAAUGAACCGUGAGGCUUAACCUU
rnacentral:rRNA from 1 species